CCUACGGGAGGCAGCAGUGGGGAAUCUUGCGCAAUGGGCGAAAGCCUGACGCAGCCAUGCCGCGUGAAUGAUGAAGGUCUUAGGAUUGUAAAAUUCUUUCACCGAGGACGAUAAUGACGGUACUCGGAGAAGAAGCCCCGGCUAACUUCGUGCCAGCAGCCGCGGUAAUACGAAGGGGGCUAGCGUUGCUCGGAAUUACUGGGCGUAAAGGGAGCGUAGGCGGAUAGUUUAGUCAGAGGUGAAAGCCCAGGGCUCAACCUUGGAAUUGCCUUUGAUACUGGCUAUCUUGAGUACGGAAGAGGUAUGUGGAACUCCGAGUGUAGAGGUGAAAUUCGUAGAUAUUCGGAAGAACACCAGUGGCGAAGGCGACAUACUGGUCCGUUACUGACGCUGAGGCUCGAAAGCGUGGGGAGCAAACAGGAUUAGAUACCCUGGUAGUCCACGCUGUAAACGAUGAGUGCUAGUUGUCGGCAUGCAUGCAUGUCGGUGACGCAGCUAACGCAUUAAGCACUCCGCCUGGGGAGUACGGUCGCAAGAUUAAAACNCAAAGGAAUUGACGG
rnacentral:rRNA from 1 species